CUACCUCACCGGGGGCGCUUUUUGGCUGAGAUGUACCCUUAGAACCUGAACCAGAUAAUGCUGGCGGAGGGAGGAUACACAACAUGAAA
rnacentral:ncRNA from 2 species